CACCUGAAUUCAAACAAGUCAUCUAUCAACAAGUCAAGCAUCUUUGGAAAGAUAAUUUUUAAUGAAUUCCACUAAAUUUUAAUCGUUUCUGGUUAAAUUGUUUUUUUAAUUAAAUCUAAUCCUUUCGUUGCUUAAGAGGAUGUAUAUGUGAAGAGCCAAAGAAGAAAUAAAGUAAAAAAAUUAAUUAAAAGGACAAACGUCGUGAAGUGAGGUUAUCUUGGCUUUAAAUCUUAUUCGAAUCCAAGUUAUAGUAAUGAAAUUAAAAGUAAAAAAGGACCAUAAACCUAACCUAAGAAUGAAGAUUUUUUUGAAAUUCUUAAUAAAACUAUGCUGAUAGGGAAUAUGAAACUGAAGAAGUUGUUCUUUGCGAGAGAUGAAAAUAAAUGUUGGCAACAAAUUUAAGCAGCAUCAAAAGUUAAACCGUUUAAUAUAAUCAAAAUAAAUCAAGUUCAUACGUUUAAGCUUAAAAAAACCUUCAAAAAAGCUAAUUAUUCAUGAUUCUUCGAAUUCGCACGAGUUUGACAGUUAUAGGUUAUGUUUACAUGUUUCGAAAUAUAAAAGAAUUAAUAUCUCGGCAACUAAUUGAGAUAUCGGCAUGGGAUAAAAACCGA